GUUCAGAAUCGUGCGCGUAUUCAGAAUUUUUACUAUGCAGAGGCGCUUGGCCAAUGCUGCUAGGCUAAUGGUCUCUAGAAACAAGCGCAGAUACCAGUACGACGGAUUUGAUUUAGAUUUAACAUAUGUCACAGAUAAAAUCAUUGCGAUGAGCUUCCCAUCUUCAGGAAAAAUGUCCUUUU